rnacentral:rRNA from 1 species
GAUGUGAUGGGGAGCGAAAUUUAGUAGCGAAGUAGCUGAUUUCACACUGUCAAGAAAAGUCUCUAUCGAGGUUAAAGGUACCCGUACCGCAAACCGACACAGGUGGGUGAGGAGAGUAUCCUAAGGCCAGCGAGAGAACUGUUGUUAAGGAACUCGGCAAAAUGACCCCGUAACUUAGGGAUAAGGGGUGCCACCAUCAGGUGGCCGCAGAGAAUAGGCCCAAGCGACUGUUUACCAAAAACAUAGGUUUCUGCUAAGUCGCAAGACGAUGUAUAGGAGCUGACGCCUGCCCGGUGCUGGAAGGUUAAGGGGAUCUGUUAGAGCAAUCGAAGCAGUGAACUUAAGCCCCAGUAAACGGCGGCCGUAACUAUAACGGUCCUAAGGUAGCGAAAUUCCUUGUCGGGUAAGUUCCGACCCGCACGAAAGGCGUAACGAUUUGGGCACUGUCUCAACAACAGACUCGGUGAAAUUGUAAUUCCGGUGAAGAUGCCGGAUACCUGCGACAGGACGGAAAGACCCCAUGGAGCUUUACUGUAGCUUGACAUUGGGUCUUGGUACUACAUGUACAGGAUAGGU